rnacentral:rRNA from 1 species
UACGUAGGGUGCGAGCGUUAAUCGGAAUUACUGGGCGUAAAGCGUGCGCAGGCGGUUUUGUAAGACAGAUGUGAAAUCCCCGGGCUUAACCUGGGAACUGCGUUUGUGACUGCAAGACUCGAGUGUGGCAGAGGGGGGUGGAAUUCUAGGUGUAGGAGUGAAAUCCAUUGAUAUCUAGAAGAACACCGAUGGCGAAGGCAGCCCCCUGGGUCAACACUGACGCUCAUGCACGAAAGCGUGGGUAGCAAACAGG